GGGAUUGCCCUAGUAACGGCGAGUGAAGCGGCAACAGCUCAAAUUUGAAAUCUGGCCCUAGGCCCGAGUUGUAAUUUGCAGAGGAUGCUUUUGGUGACGCGCCUACCGAGUCCCCUGGAACGGGGCGCCACAGAGGGUGAGAGCCCCGUAUGGUUUGACGCCGAGCCUCUGUAAAGCUCCUUCGACGAGUCGAGUAGUUUGGGAAUGCUGCUCUAAAUGGGAGGUAAAUUUCUUCUAAAGCUAAAUACCGGCCAGAGACCGAUAGCGCACAAGUAGAGUGAUCGAAAGAUGAAAAGCACUUUGAAAAGAGGGUUAAAUAGCACGUGAAAUUGUUGAAAGGGAAGCGCUCGUGACCAGACUUGCGCCGGGCGGAUCAUCCAGCGUUCUCGCUGGUGCACUCCGCCCGGCUCAGGCCAGCAUCGGUUUUCGCCGGGGGACAAAAGCUUCGGGAACGUAGCUCCUCUCGGGGAGUGUUAUAGCCCGUUGCGUAAUACCCCGGCGGGGACCGAGGACCGCGCUUCGGCAAGGAUGCUGGCGUAAUGGUCAUCAGCGACCCGUCUUGAAACACGGACCGAGGAGUCAAGCAUUAGUGCGAGUGUUUGGGUGUAAAACCCGCACGCGUAAUGAAAGUGAACGUAGGUGAGAGCUUCGGCGCAUCAUCGACCGAUCCUGAUGUUUUCGGAUGGAUUUGAGUAGGAGCAUUAACGCUUGGACCCGAAAGAUGGUGAACUAUACUUGAAUAGGGUGAAGCCAGAGGAAACUCUGGUGGAGGCUCGCAGCGGUUCUGACGUGCAAAUCGAUCGUCAAAUUUG
rnacentral:rRNA from 1 species